rnacentral:lncRNA from 1 species
CAGAAAUGCACCUUCUGUGUUGGUUUGCCAACCACCAAAAAUAACACAAAAAGAAUAAGAAGAGUGGAUGACACUGCACACAUACGCUUUCAUCCAAAUCUGUGGUUUGUCAGCAUCUAUACUAGUAGAUCAAAUUAAAAUCUACAGGCAAUUGAUUCAAAUCAGCUCUCAACUGAACUGGGGUGUGAAGAAGCCAGAGUCUCACUCCUUCAUCUAUAACCUCCUGAUCAUCCAGAUCUCCAGAUAGAAACUCACAUCCUCCUCAUCAGUGACACAGAGGAAGAUCCAGUCAAGCUUUACUAUAUAAAUGCUGCCUGAUUCUGCAAACACAACAACACAAACUCAUUGUCUAAUUGUGAAUGAACAUGAUAAACGAUACUACUAGAUUCAAGUUAUCUAUAUAGAUUUGUUAUAAAAUAUUUUCUAUUCAAAUCUUUGUCCUUUGACAAAAAUGUAAGUGUGGUUUUAAAUCCGCUCCAUCAGGCGGCGGAAUCAGGCUUUAGGUUCAGUUUGACGCAUUCAGAUGCUGCUUGACAACAUGACGCUUGAUAACAGUCACAACAACACGUGCAGACUGAGUUAAGUAUAAAUUCUGCAGAUGACAGCUCAGUUACAGACUCAUAAUGUCACUUAACAGCACACACUUCAGUCCAUAAACAAACAAAACAGACAAACGCUGUGAUAAAGUGCAGGAGUGGAAGAUGUCACGCGACUCACCUGUAAGUCUCCUUCUCUUUCAGUGUAUUUCUCCUGUAAAAUUACUAGCACGCGUCUAGCAGUAGCCUGCUUAAGUAAUGUAUUUCAGUCAUUGUUUAAGUGUUUGUUGGUGUGUAAUUAAGAUACAGAGCUCCUCUUCCAGGGUUUUAUUCCAGAAAGCACGGUUAAGUUACCGUCAGCUAAACCCUGAACUUUCGGUUGAUUAACGCCAAACCUUGCUUACUCGAGGUAUGUGGUUCCAAAAACGUGGUUCAUUCAACUCGGAGUAUGUUCCUGGUUAAGACUCAAGAAAUU